UACGGAGGGGGCUAGCGUUGUUCGGAAUUACUGGGCGUAAAGCGCACGUAGGCGGCUUUGCAAGUUAGAGGUGAAAGCCCGGGGCUCAACUCCGGAAUUGCCUUUAAAACUGCAUCGCUAGAAUUGUGGAUAGGUAAGUGGAAUUCCGAGUGUAGAGGUGAAAUUCGUAGAUAUUCGGAAGAACACCAGUGGCGAAGGCGACUUACUGGACACAUAUUGACGCUGAGGUGCGAAAGCGUGGGGAGCAAACAGG
rnacentral:rRNA from 1 species